AGCAGCCGCGGUAAUUCCAGCUCCAAUAGCGUAUAUUAAAGUUGUUGCAGUUAAAAAGCUCGUAGUUGAAUUUCGGGAUCAAUUAGUCGGUCGUGCCUCUGGUACGUACUGGUUUUAUUGGUUCCUCCCUUCUGACGAAACAUGAUGUCAUUAAUUUGGUGUCGUGGAGAAUCAGGACUGUUACCUUGAAGAAAUUAGAGUGUUUAUAGCAGGCUAACGCUUGAAUACAUUAGCAUGGAAUAAUGAAAUAGGACGUUCGACCCUAUUUUGUUGGUUUCUAGGAUCGACGUAAUGAUUAAUAGGGAUAGUUGGGGGCAUUAGUAUUCAAUUGUCAGAGGUGAAAUUCUUGGAUUUAUUGAAGACUAACUACUGCGAAAGCAUUUGCCAAGGAUGUUUUCAUUAAUCAAGAACGAAAGUUAGGGGAUCGAAGACGAUCAGAUACCGUCGUAGUCUUAACCAUAAACUAUGCCGACUAGGGAUCGGAUGAUGCUAAUUUU
rnacentral:rRNA from 1 species